GGUCUCACCUUGUUGCCCAAGCUGGAGUGCAGUUGCCUGAUCUCAGCUCACUGCAACCUCCACCUCCCAGGCUCAAGCUAUCCUCCUGCCUCAGCCUUCCGAGUAGCUGGGACCACAGGUGUGCACCAUCAUGCCCAGAUGGAGUGUCGCUCUCUCACCCAGGCUGGAGUGCAGUGGCGCUAUCUCGGCUCACUGCAACCUCUGCUUCCCAGGUUCAAGUGAUUAUCCUGCCUCAGCCUCCCAAGUUGCUGGGAUUACAGGCACGUGCCACCAUGCCUGGUAAAUUUACUAAACUAAUAAAUUACUAAAUUAGUAAGUUACUAGUAAAUUAGUAAUUACUAAAAUACAAUUUUUAGUAGAGAUGGGGUUUCAUCAUGUUGGCCAGGCUGGUCAUGAACUCCUGACCUCAAUGGAUCCUCCUGCCUCAGCUUCCUGAGUAGCUGGGAUCACAGGUGCACACCACCACACCCAGGUAAUUACUUUUUAUUUUUUGUAGAGUCGGAGUCUCCCUAUGUUUCCCAGGCUGGU
rnacentral:sRNA from 1 species